UAUCGAAUUUGGGGAGGGAAGAUGGAAGGGUGAAGACUGUCGCUGGCUAGAUUAGCAUGUGCACGUCUCUCGCCUUUUCAUCUAACCUUUCUCUUUCUCUCACACCUGUGCACCUGUUGUAGGCCCUCGAAAGAGGAUCUAUGUUUUUUCACAUCACACCUGAUUUGCAUGGCCAUAGAAUGUGUCAUAAUGAAAUAAAUACAACUUUCAGCAACGGAUCUCUUGGCUCUCGCAUCGAUGAAGAACGCAGCGAAUUGCGAUAAGUAAUGUGAAUUGCAGAUUUUCAGUGAAUCAUCGAAUCUUUGAACGCACCUUGCGCUCCUUGGUAUUCCGAGGAGCAUGCCUGUUUGAGUGUCAUGAAUUUCUCAACCACCCGAUCCUUGUGGAUCUCGUGGCUUGGACUUGGGAGUUGCUGGUCUUUCCAGAUCAGCUCUCCUGAAAUGCAUUAGCAGAAGUGGUCGAGGCGAGUUUUCGGCGUGCACGGCCUUUGACGUGAUAAUUCAUCGUCAUGGCUGGAGCGUCUUUGGACUACGUAUUAGACUUUCUUUGCUUCCAACGAAAACCCAGUCAAGCUUAGCUACUAGUACCCUAGUACGAACGCGGCUUGCACCCCAUUUCGAAUCUUG
rnacentral:misc_RNA from 1 species